GGAAGUGAAAGUCGUAACAAGGUUUCCGUAGGUGAACCUGCGGAAGGAUCAUUAAUGAGUUGUCAUGGGGUUCGAUGCUGGCAGCCAGUUUUUGGAUGCAUGUGCUUGCCCUAACAAUCAUCUUCUUCCAAACACCUGUGCACAUUUUUGAGGGAGUCUUGAGUUGGUUGCCGCUCUUGGGUGAUUUUCUCACAUUCCCUUAAAUCAUUAUACGCUAUUAACAAUGUUGAACGUGCUCUGUGCCGCAAGGCCAUUAAUAUAAUACAACUUUUAACAACGGAUCUCUUGGCUCUC
rnacentral:misc_RNA from 1 species